GUGAUCUGCCUGCCUUGGCCUCCCAACGUGCUGGGAUUACAGGAUGCACCACCGUGCCCAGACUAGGGCAAUGAUUUCAUAGAAGGGGGCUCUGGGCGGCACAUCACAGUGUUCACCACAAGCACUGGGGUGGGGACUCUGGUUCCCAACAGCAAGGGACUCUUUAAAUUUAUGCCCUGGGUAUCUCUUUUGCCUCACCUUAGUCUCAGACCUGACCAGCACCUUCCCCAUUACAGAACAAAAACAACAAAAUGUAAAUGUAUCAACCUUACAGGUUUGAUGUGAUGAGACUCUAUACAAAAUACCCCACACAUGGUAGAUUCUCAAUAACUGAGCGCUGCCAUCACUAUCAUAAUUGUCAUUGUCAUCAUCAUCGUCAUUGUCAUCAUCAUUAUCAUCAUCGUCAUUGUCAUCAUCAUCGUCAUCACUCCAGAUGUGCUGAACCUAACUAAAGCACCUUCAGGAAAUCCUUCACAUCUCCCACUCAUUUUAGAGCCUGUUUGGGAAAAAAAGAAAGAGAAGAGGAUAUGCCUCAUGCCCAGAGAAG